GGCGGUGUGCCUAAUACAUGCAAGUCGAACGAAGCUUUCUUUCACCGAAUGCUUGCAUUCACCGAAAGAAGCUUAGUGGCGAACGGGUGAGUAACACGUAGGCAACCUGCCCAAAAGAGGGGGAUAACACUUGGAAACAGGUGCUAAUACCGCAUAACCAUGAACACCGCAUGAUGUUCAUGUAAAAGACGGCUUUUGCUGUCACUUUUGGAUGGGCCUGCGGCGUAUUAACUUGUUGGUGGGGUAACGGCCUACCAAGGUGAUGAUACGUAGCCGAACUGAGAGGUUGAUCGGCCACAUUGGGACUGAGACACGGCCCAAACUCCUACGGGAGGCAGCAGUAGGGAAUCUUCCACAAUGGACGAAAGUCUGAUGGAGCAACGCCGCGUGAAUGAAGAAGGCCUUCGGGUCGUAAAAUUCUGUUGUCAGAGAAGAACGUGCGUGAGAGUAACUGUUCACGUAUUGACGGUAUCUGACCAGAAAGCCACGGCUAACUACGUGCCAGCAGCCGCGGUAAUACGUAGGUGGCGAGCGUUGUCCGGAUUUAUUGGGCGUAAAGGGAACGCAGGCGGUCUUUUAAGUCUGAUGUGAAAGCCUUCGGCUUAACCGAAGUAAUUGCAUUGGAAACUGGAAGACUUGAGUGCA
rnacentral:rRNA from 2 species